GGCAUAAAACUCACAGGUAGAGCCUCUGCGUGGCAUGCAGACGGUCCCAGGUUCGAUUCCUGGGAUCUCCA
rnacentral:tRNA from 1 species